AACCUCCGCAAUGUGAGAAAUCGCGACGGGGGGAUCCCAAGUGCCAUUCUUAACGGGAUGGCUUUUCAUUAGUGUAAAAAGCUUUUGGAAUAAGAGCUGGGCAAGACCGGUGCCAGCCGCCGCGGUAACACCGGCAGCUCUAGUGGUAGCAAUUUUUAUUGGGCCUAAAGCGUCCGUAGCCGGUUUAAUAAGUCUCUGGUGAAAUCCUGUAGCUUAACUGUGGGAAUUGCUGGAGAUACUAUUAGACUUGAGACCGGGAGAGGUUAGAGGUACUCCCAGGGUAGAGGUGAAAUUCUGUAAUCCUGGGAGGACCGCCUAUUGCGAAGGCGUCUAACUGGAACGGUUCUGACGGUGAGGGACGAAAGUUAGGGGCGCGAACCGGAUUAGAUACCCGGGUAGUCCUAACUGUAAACGAUGCGGACUUGGUGUUGGGGUGGCUUUGAGCUGCUUCAGUGCCGAAGGGAAGCUGUUAAGUCCGCCGCCUGGGAAGUACGGUCGCAAGACUGAAACUUAAAGGAAUU
rnacentral:rRNA from 1 species